rnacentral:rRNA from 1 species
CGGAACGUAUCCUAAAGUGGGGGAUAGCUCGGCGAAAGCCGGAUUAAUACCGCAUACGAUCCCCGGAUGAAAAUUUGGGGAUGAAAGCGGGGACCGGCAACGGCCUCGCGCUUAAGGAGCGGCCGAUCUCUGAUUAGCUAGUUGGUGGGGUAAGCGCCUACCAAGGCGAUGAUCAGUAGCUGGUCUGAGAGGAUGAUCAGCCACACUGGGACUGAGACACGGCCCAG